GACGAACGCUGGCGUUCGUGCUUAACACAUGCAAGUCGAACGGAAAGGCCCUGCUUUUGUGGGGUGCUCGAGUGGCGAACGGGUGAGUAACACGUGAGUAACCUGCCCUUGACUUUGGGAUAACUUCAGGAAACUGGGGCUAAUACCGGAUAGGAGCUCCUGCUGCAUGGUGGGGGUUGGAAAGUUUCGGCGGUUGGGGAUGGACUCGCGGCUUAUCAGCUUGUUGGUGGGGUAGUGGCUUACCAAGGCUUUGACGGGUAGCCGGCCUGAGAGGGUGACCGGCCACAUUGGGACUGAGAUACGGCCCAGACUCCUACGGGAGGCAGCAGUGGGGAAUAUUGCACAAUGGGCGGAAGCCUGAUGCAGCAACGCCGCGUGCGGGAUGACGGCCUUCGGGUUGUAAACCGCUUUCGCCUGUGACGAAGCGUGAGUGACGGUAAUGGGUAAAGAAGCACCGGCUAACUACGUGCCAGCAGCCGCGGUGAUACGUAGGGUGCGAGCGUUGUCCGGAUUUAUUGGGCGUAAAGGGCUCGUAGGUGGUUGAUCGCGUCGGAAGUGUAAUCUUGGGGCUUAACCCUGAGCGUGCUUUCGAUACGGGUUGACUUGAGGAAGGUAGGGGAGAAUGGAAUUCCUGGUGGAGCGGUGGAAUGCGCAGAUAUCAGGAGGAACACCAGUGGCGAAGGCGGUUCUCUGGGCCUUUCCUGACGCUGAGGAGCGAAAGCGUGGGGAGCGAACAGGCUUAGAUACCCUGGUAGUCCACGCUGUAAACGGUGGGUACUAGGUGUGGGGUCCAUUCCACGGGUUCCGUGCCGUAGCUAACGCUUUAAGUACCCCGCCUGGGGAGUACGGCCGCAAGGCUAAAACUCAAAGGAAUUGACGGGGCCCCGCACAAGCGGCGGAGCAUGCGGAUUAAUUCGAUGCAACGCGUAGAACCUUACCUGGGGUUGACAUGGAUCGGGAGUGCUCAGAGAUGGGUGUGCCUCUUUUGGGGUCGGUUCACAGGUGGUGCAUGGCUGUCGUCAGCUCGUGUCGUGAGAUGUUGGGUUAAGUCCCGCAACGAGCGCAACCCUUGUUCACUGUUGCCAGCACGUUAUGGUGGGGACUCAGUGGAGACCGCCGGGGUCAACUCGGAGGAAGGUGGGGAUGACGUCAAGUCAUCAUGCCCCUUAUGUCCAGGGCUUCACGCAUGCUACAAUGGCUGGUACAGAGAGUGGCGAGCCUGUGAGGGUGAGCGAAUCUCGGAAAGCCGGUCUCAGUUCGGAUUGGGGUCUGCAACUCGACCUCAUGAAGUCGGAGUCGCUAGUAAUCGCAGAUCAGCAACGCUGCGGUGAAUACGUUCCCGGG
rnacentral:rRNA from 1 species